UUUUUAGCUCACCUGGCCCGAAGGGCCAAGUGAGCUUUUCUCAUCACUUGGCGUCCGUCGUCCGGCGUCGUCCGUCGUCGGCGUUAACUUUUUACAUUUUGAACUUCUUCUAGAGAACCACUGAAUGGAAUGAAACCAAACAUGGCAUGAAUGUUCCUUAUGAGGUGCUCACCAAGUGUUGUUACUUUGUAGCCGAUCCAUCAUCCAAGAUGGCCGCCAGCGGGGGACUUAGUUUAACAUAGGACCCUAUGGGAAAUGCAUACAAAUGACUUCUUUUAGAGAACCACUGAAUGGAAUGAAACCAAACAUGGCAUGAAUGUUCCUUAUGAGGUGCUGACCAAGUGUUGUUACUUUGUAGCCGAUCCAUCAUCCAAGAUGGCCGCCAGCGGGGGACUUAGUUUAACAUAGGACCCUAUGGGAAAUGCAUACAAAUGACUUCUUUUAGAGAACCACUGAAUGGAAUGAAACCAAACAUGGCAUGAAUGUUCCUUAUGAGGUGCUGACCAAGUGUUGUUACUUUGUAGCCGAUCCAUCAUCCAAGAUGGCCGCCAGCGGGGGACUUAUUUUAACAUAGGACCCUAUGGGAAAUGCAUACAAAUGACUUCUUUUAGAGAACCACUGAAUGGAAUGAAACCAAACAUGGCAUGAAUGUUCCUUAUGAGGUGCUGACCAAGUGUUGUUACUUUGUAGCCGAUCCAUCAUCCAAGAUGGCCGCCAGCGGGGGACUUAGUUUAACAUAGGACCCUAUGGGAAAUGCAUACGAAUGACUUCUUUUAGAGAACCACUGAAUGGAAUGAAACCAAACAUGGCAUGAAUGUUCCUUAUGAGGUGCUGACCAUGUGUUGUUACUUUGUAGCCGAUCCAUCAUCCAAGAUGGCCGCCAUCGGGGAACUUAGUUUAACAUAGGACCCUAUGGGAAAUACAUACAAAUGUCUUCUUUUAGAGAACCACUGAAUGGAAUGAAACCAAACAUGGCAUGAAUGUUCCUUAUGAGGUGCUGACCAAGUGUUGUUACUUUGUAGCCGAUCCAUCAUCCAAGAUGGCCGCCAGCGGGGGACUUAGUUUAACAUAGGACCCUAUGGGAAAUGCAUACAAAUGACUUCUUUUAGAGAACCACUGAAUGGAAUGAAACCAAACAUGGCAUGAAUGUUCCUUAUGAGGUGCUGACCAAGUGUUGUUACUUUGUAGCCGAUCCAUCAUCCAAGAUGGCCGCCAGCGGGGGACUUAGUUUAACAUAGGACCCUACGGGAAAUGCAUACGAAUGACUUCUUUUAGAGAACCACUGAAUGGAAUAAAACCAAACAUGGCAUGAAUGUUCCUUAUGAGGUGCUGACCAUGUGUUGUUACUUUGUAGCCGAUCCAUCAUCCAAGAUGGCCGCCAUCGGGGAACUUAGUUUAACAUAGGACCCUAUGGGAAAUACAUACAAAUGUCUUCUUUUAGAUAACCACUGGAUGGAAUGAAACCAAACAUGGCAUGAAUGUUCCUUAUGAGGUGCUGACCAAGUGUUGUUACUUUGUAGGCGAUCCAUCAUCCAAGAUGGCCGCCAGCGGAGGACUUAGUUUAACAUAGGACUCUAUGGGAAAUACAUAAAAUUGUCUUCUUUUAGAGAACCACUGAAUGGAAUAAAACCAAACAUGGCAUGAAUGUUCCUUAUGAGAUGCUGACCAAGUGUUGUUACUUUGCAGUCGGUCCAUCAUCCAAGAUGGCCGCCAGCGGGGGACUUAGUUUAACAUAGGACCCUAUGAGAAAAACAUACAAAUGUCUUCUUUUAGAGAACCACUGAAUGGAAUGAAACCAAACAUGGCAUGAAUGUUCCUUAUGAGGUGCUGACCAAGUGUUGUUACUUUGUAGCCGAUCCAUCAUCCAAGAUGGCCGCCAGCGGGGGACUUAGUUUAACAUAGGACCCUAUGGGAAAUGCAUACAAAUGACUUCUUUUAGAGAACCACUGAAUGGAAUGAAACCAAACAUGGCAUGAAUGUUCCUUAUGAGGUGCUGACCAUGUGUUGUUACUUUGUAGCCGAUCCAUCAUCCAAGAUGGCCGCCAUCGGGGAACUUAGUUUAACAUAGGACCCUAUGGGAAAUACAUACAAAUGUCUUCUUUUAGAGAACCACUGAAUGGAAUGAAACCAAACAUGGCAUGAAUGUUCCUUAUGAGGUGCUGACCAAGUGUUGUUACUUUGUAGCCGAUCCAUCAUCCAAGAUGGCCGCCAGCGGAGGACUUAGUUUAACAUAGGACCCUAUGGGAAAUACAUAAAAUUGUCUUCUUUUAGAGAACCACUGAAUGGAAUAAAACCAAACAUGGCAUGAAUGUUCCUUAUGAGAUGCUGACCAAGUGUUGUUACUUUGCAGUCGGUCCAUCAUCCAAGAUGGCCGCCAGCGGGGGACUUAGUUUAACAUAGGACCCUAUGAGAAAAACAUACAAAUGUCUUCUUUUAGAGAACCACUGAAUGGAAUGAAACCAAACAUGGCAUGAAUGUUCCUUAUGAGGUGCUGACCAAGUGUUGUUACUUUGUAGCCGAUCCAUCAUCCAAGAUGGCCGCCAUCGGGGAACUUAGUUUAACAUAGGACCCUAUGGGAAAUACAUACAAAUGUCUUCUUUUAGAGAACCACUGAAUGGAAUGAAACCAAACAUGGCAUGAAUGUUCCUUAUGAGAUGUUGACCAAGUGUUGUUACUUUGCAGCCGAUCCAUCAUCCAAGAUGGCCGACAGCGGGGGACUUAGUUUAACAUAGGACCCUAUGGGAAAUACAUACAAUUGUCUUCUUUUAGAGAACCACUGAAUGGAAUUGAACCAAACAUGGCAUGAAUGUUCCUUAUGAGUUGCUGACCAAGUGUUGUUACUUUGCAGUCGAUCCAUCAUCCAAGAUGGCCGCUAGGGGGGGGGCUUAGUUUAACAUAGGACCCUAUGGGAAAUACAUACAAAUGUCUUCUUUUAGAGUACCACUGAAUGGAAUGAAACCAAACAUGGCAUGAAUGUUCCUUAUGAAGUGCUGACCAAGUGUUGCUACUUUGUUGCCGAUUUACUGUUCAAGAUGGCCACCAGGAUAUUUUAUUAAAUAACGGGACCAAUAUUAAUCAAAAUUUGGCCUCAAUCAUUAUUUGGGUAUCUGUUAUGAUUUUUAUCUAUCUUUACAUGAUUUCUAAAACCAAAGUAGAGUCAGGUGAGCGACACAGGCUCUUGAGAGCCUCUAGUUUUCUUUAAAAUUUUCCAUUUUAAGUUGGUUAUUUCUGAUUUAUAUAUAAAAGCAAAUAAUAAUGAUAUGGUUUGAAUAGGUAAAUUAAAAAAUUUCAAGUUCUUAGACCACAUUCAUUCUGUGUCAGAAACCUAUGCUGUGUCAAAUAUUUAAUCCCAAUCCAAAUUCAGUGCUGUA